UCAAUAAACUGUUUUCUUCGAACAAGACCAUGAUCAUUGUGUACGCUCUUGAACUCAGAGAGCCACCUGCUUCUCCACCUCCUUCCUGCGUGGCCGCGUGCACCACCACAGCUGAGGGAAAGAAAACGCAAGUGUGUGCAUGAACCGCAGACCUGUCAUCACUGUCCAGAACAUCUUUGCUCCUCAGUUAAAAUAGCUGCGUCCCGCCGGGUGGUGAUGGCUCCUGUAAUCCCAGCACUCGGGAGGCAGAGGCAGGCGGAUCUCUGAGUUCGAGGCCAGCCUGGUCUACAGAGCGAGUGCCAGGAGAGGCUCCAAAGCUACACAGAGAAACCCUGUCGCGAACCCCCCCCCAAAAAAAAGCUGUGUCCCAGAGUCAGUUUCACACCUUUCUUCGUCUUGAUUUUCCUUCAUUGUAUUCAUCUAUUGUUACCCAUCUGGGAUUUUCUUCUGAAUCAACUAUUCCAACAUCCAGCUCAAACGCAGCUUUUCCUGAAUAUUCUGCACCUGAUUCAUACUUUGUACUCUAUUGUCAUAAAAUUCUGCAAUCCUCGUAAAGCAUUGCUUAUUUUCUGUGCAUUGUACCAACUACUGAGGUCCUAAGUGUUACUCCUUUGGAAGAACUUCUGGACUAGGAAUUGUGACAAACACCUUAAUCCCAACACUUGGUAGGCAGAAGCAGGAGGAUCUCUGUGAGUUCAAGGACAGCCUGGUCUACAGAGUGAGUUCCAGGACAGCCAGAGCUAUAGAAAGAAAACAUUUCUGAUACAGUGGAAGAUGCAGACUAGCAAAAUGGUAUGUGAAAGGCAGUGCUAACAGAAAAACAAAGGCAAGUACAUACAUACUUAUUCGUACUUAUUCAAAUAUAGAAUUUUACCUGCAGUUUUAGGGAAAUCAGGAGUUCAAGGUCAUCCUUAGCUACGUUGAGUUUGAGGCCAGUUUGGGUUACAUAAGAGCCUGUCAAAGGAGAAGAGGGUGAGAAAUAUCCUUCCAGGUGCCCCUCAUAAAUGUGUAGGUAGCCUUGAACUUGAUGAACUUAUGAUUUAUGAUUGUCAGCCUCUCAGCUAACAAACACCAUGGCUGGUUAGUAUGUGUUCUUUGCUUGUGAGGGAUUCCUGAAGAGCUCCUGCCUGGUAGGUGGAAGAGCCUAAGUAGCAAGUGAAGGGAAAGAGUUACUGUUGAAAUAACUGGGUCAAAGGCAAUAAAUCUGGUCCCCAAACCCAGCUUGUCCAUGGAUAUCCACCUCCCAACCCAAAACAAGUACAUACCUGACACUUAUGUCUAAUUUCUCUUUUCCCCUAAGUUCAAGUCAUUGCCAACAGGAAUUCCCCUCCCUAUAUCCUCAUGUUUCUCUGCCAUCUUCCUUUAAAAAUUUUUGUUAGUUUGUUUUGGCUUUUUGAGACAGGGUCGCUCAGUAGGCCAGGCUGGCCUCAAACUCAGGGAUUGGCCUAUCUCUGCUUCCCAAGUUCUGGGAUUAAAGGCGUCAGCCGCCACUGCCUGGCAUUAGAAAUUUUUGUAUGUUUAAGAUAGGGUCUGCUCAUGUAGCCUGGAAUUGUAUAUUGUCCAACCUGAGCUACCUAGCAAUACCCUUUCUCAAAUAAACAGCAAAUAGUGGCAUAUACUUCUAAUCCCAGCACUUGGGAGAUGGAGGCUAGAUCAGGAAUUCAAGGUCGAGGCCAGCCUCAGCUAUAUUGUAGUUUCAAGACCAGCCUGGGCUACUUGGGUUUUGAGGAAAAAGAAAAUGGUACAGCACUUGCAUAGAAUCAUCCAGUAAAUUAUGGAGUGUGGCUCCAUAAAAGGUUAAGCACCUGCUAGAAUCAGGGGCUGGGGACAAGGCUCAGCAUUUGAACAUGUGGCCUUGGGUUCUAUCCCAAGUAUCACACAUGAACACACACUUUAGUAGUGCUUCCAGUAUGUGGUACUGAUUUUAGCAGAAGGAAUGCUUAUUGCAGAAAAUACACAUAACAGAAAUAAAACUUGAUGUGUUAUUCCUAAGAUGCUAGUGUCUGGAAGGCGUUUUGGAAAGUGCCCUAUAUGCAAGUCACUCUCUGGAGCUCUAAACAGUCAUCCAUCCCUCCUUGGCAUCAGGGCACAAUAAGCAUGUAUGUUUAUGUUUACUGUGUUAAGCAACAAAUAUGAAAUAUCCAGCCUUGGAGGGUAGCUCAGAAAUAGAGUGUAAGUUUACCAUGUACGUGUGUGGGGGUGGGGGGGUUGUUGAUCUAGCUCAAAGAUUAGCAUGGUCCCUGCACAAGGAUAAUAUGAAAAUUCGUGAAGCAUUCCCUAUUUUUGGACCAUACGGCAGCCAGAGGACCCAGGGUGCUGCUGCACUUCUGGCCUUGGCUGGGAAUGGCCUGAAAGAUGCCACUUUCCAGGUGUGUGUGUGUGUGUGUGGUUUUGCUGAGAACUGCUGUUCAGCUUGGGAUGAGACCUCUUCUGAUGGCCUAGGCCUGUCAGUGUUCGUCACUAUCACAUAAAGAGACCAAUAAACAAAGAAAAACAGAAAAAAAAAAAAAAAAGAUGAGGAUGGGGUUGUGUUGAUCAUGCUGCUCUUGAACUCAUGGACUCAAGUGACCCACCUCAGUUACUCCAGUGCUGAGACUGCACAUGUGCACCAAUGUGUGGCUACAAUAAUAUCAAAACAAGCAAAAAUAUUUUUGAAUGUAACUGUGUGCAUAUCCUUGUCUGCAUGUCUGGGUGUGAAAAUCAGAUAUUUUUGGUGUUGGGGUUGUAGAGUAUUAAAGAUGUGUUACAUUCCUUUA